GACGAACGCUGGCGGCGUGCUUAACACAUGCAAGUCGAGCGGUAAGGCCCUUUCGGGGGUACACGAGCGGCGAACGGGUGAGUAACACGUGGGUGACCUGCCCUCAGCUCUGGGAUAAGCCUGGGAAACUGGGUCUAAUACCGGAUAUGACUCCAUGACGCAUGUUGUGGGGUGGAAAGCCUUGUGCGGCUGAGGAUGGGCCCGCGGCCUAUCAGCUUGUUGGUGGGGUGANGGCCUACCAAGGCGACGACGGGUAGCCGGCCUGAGAGGGCGACCGGCCACACUGGGACUGAGACACGGCCCAGACUCCUACGGGAGGCAGCAGUGGGGAAUCUUGCGCAAUGGGCGAAAGCCUGACGCAGCGACGCCGCGUGAGGGAUGACGGCCUGGUGU
rnacentral:rRNA from 1 species